AAUUCUCAAAUCUUUAAUUGUUGUAAUGACGAUUGAAGACUUUGGAUGUGGGAGUCUUUUGCUGGCUUUUAUUAGUUCAGCUCUCCUUAAAUGCAUUAGUGGUUACUGUUCUUCCACUUUGGUGUGAUAAUUAUCUACGCCUAUAAGUGAAGAUGUUAAGUGUAGCUGCCUUCAAACCGUCCAAGUCUUAUUGGACAACUUUGAACU
rnacentral:misc_RNA from 1 species